GACGUAGGGCGCGAGCGUUGUCCGGAUUUAUUGGGCGUAAAGAGCUCGUAGGCGGCUUGUCGCGUCGUCCGUGAAAACCUGGGGCUUAACUCUGGGCGUGCGGUCGAUACGGGCAUCACUAGAGUUCGGCAGGGGAGACUGGAAUUCCUGGUGUAGCGGUGAAAUGCGCAGAUAUCAGGAGGAACACCGGUGGCGAAGGCGGGUCUCUGGGCCGAUACUGACGCUGAGGAGCGAAAGCAUGGGUAGCGAACAGG
rnacentral:rRNA from 1 species